GGGUUGUGAGGUUAAGCGACUAAGCGUACACGGUGGAUGCCCUGGCAGUCAGAGGCGAUGAAGGACGUGCUAAUCUGCGAUAAGCGUCGGUAAGGUGAUAUGAACCGUUAUAACCGGCGAUUUCCGAAUGGGGAAACCCAGUGUGAUUCGUCACACUAUCAUUAACUGAAUCCAUAGGUUAAUGAGGCGAACCGGGGGAACUGAAACAUCUAAGUACCCCGAGGAAAAGAAAUCAACCGAGAUUCCCCCAGUAGCGGCGAGCGAACGGGGAGCAGCCCAGAGCCUGAAUCAGUGUGUGUGUUAGUGGAAGCGUCUGGAAAGGCGCGCGAUACAGGGUGACAGCCCCGUACACAAAAAUGCACAUGCUGUGAGCUCGAUGAGUAGGGCGGGACACGUGGUAUCCUGUCUGAAUAUGGGGGGACCAUCCUCCAAGGCUAAAUACUCCUGACUGACCGAUAGUGAACCAGUACCGUGAGGGAAAGGCGAAAAGAACCCCGGCGAGGGGAGUGAAAAAGAACCUGAAACCGUGUACGUACAAGCAGUGGGAGCACGCUUAGGCGUGUGACUGCGUACCUUUUGUAUAAUGGGUCAGCGACUUAUAUUCUGUAGCAAGGUUAACCGAAUAGGGGAGCCGAAGGGAAACCGAGUCUUAACUGGGCGUUAAGUUGCAGGGUAUAGACCCGAAACCCGGUGAUCUAGCCAUGGGCAGGUUGAAGGUUGGGUAACACUAACUGGAGGACCGAACCGACUAAUGUUGAAAAAUUAGCGGAUGACUUGUGGCUGGGGGUGAAAGGCCAAUCAAACCGGGAGAUAGCUGGUUCUCCCCGAAAGCUAUUUAGGUAGCGCCUCGUGAAUUCAUCUCCGGGGGUAGAGCACUGUUUCGGCAAGGGGGUCAUCCCGACUUACCAACCCGAUGCAAACUGCGAAUACCGGAGAAUGUUAUCACGGGAGACACACGGCGGGUGCUAACGUCCGUCGUGAAGAGGGAAACAACCCAGACCGCCAGCUAAGGUCCCAAAGUCAUGGUUAAGUGGGAAACGAUGUGGGAAGGCCCAGACAGCCAGGAUGUUGGCUUAGAAGCAGCCAUCAUUUAAAGAAAGCGUAAUAGCUCACUGGUCGAGUCGGCCUGCGCGGAAGAUGUAACGGGGCUAAACCAUGCACCGAAGCUGCGGCAGCGACACUAUGUGUUGUUGGGUAGGGGAGCGUUCUGUAAGCCUGUGAAGGUGUACUGUGAGGUAUGCUGGAGGUAUCAGAAGUGCGAAUGCUGACAUAAGUAACGAUAAAGCGGGUGAAAAGCCCGCUCGCCGGAAGACCAAGGGUUCCUGUCCAACGUUAAUCGGGGCAGGGUGAGUCGACCCCUAAGGCGAGGCCGAAAGGCGUAGUCGAUGGGAAACAGGUUAAUAUUCCUGUACUUGGUGUUACUGCGAAGGGGGGACGGAGAAGGCUAUGUUGGCCGGGCGACGGUUGUCCCGGUUUAAGCGUGUAGGCUGGUUUUCCAGGCAAAUCCGGAAAAUCAAGGCUGAGGCGUGAUGACGAGGCACUACGGUGCUGAAGCAACAAAUGCCCUGCUUCCAGGAAAAGCCUCUAAGCAUCAGGUAACAUCAAAUCGUACCCCAAACCGACACAGGUGGUCAGGUAGAGAAUACCAAGGCGCUUGAGAGAACUCGGGUGAAGGAACUAGGCAAAAUGGUGCCGUAACUUCGGGAGAAGGCACGCUGAUAUGUAGGUGAAGUCCCUCGCGGAUGGAGCUGAAAUCAGUCGAAGAUACCAGCUGGCUGCAACUGUUUAUUAAAAACACAGCACUGUGCAAACACGAAAGUGGACGUAUACGGUGUGACGCCUGCCCGGUGCCGGAAGGUUAAUUGAUGGGGUCAGCGCAAGCGAAGCUCUUGAUCGAAGCCCCGGUAAACGGCGGCCGUAACUAUAACGGUCCUAAGGUAGCGAAAUUCCUUGUCGGGUAAGUUCCGACCUGCACGAAUGGCGUAAUGAUGGCCAGGCUGUCUCCACCCGAGACUCAGUGAAAUUGAACUCGCUGUGAAGAUGCAGUGUACCCGCGGCAAGACGGAAAGACCCCGUGAACCUUUACUAUAGCUUGACACUGAACAUUGAGCCUUGAUGUGUAGGAUAGGUGGGAGGCUUUGAAGUGUGGACGCCAGUCUGCAUGGAGCCGACCUUGAAAUACCACCCUUUAAUGUUUGAUGUUCUAACGUUGACCCGUGAUCCGGGUUGCGGACAGUGUCUGGUGGGUAGUUUGACUGGGGCGGUCUCCUCCUAAAGAGUAACGGAGGAGCACGAAGGUUGGCUAAUCCUGGUCGGACAUCAGGAGGUUAGUGCAAUGGCAUAAGCCAGCUUGACUGCGAGCGUGACGGCGCGAGCAGGUGCGAAAGCAGGUCAUAGUGAUCCGGUGGUUCUGAAUGGAAGGGCCAUCGCUCAACGGAUAAAAGGUACUCCGGGGAUAACAGGCUGAUACCGCCCAAGAGUUCAUAUCGACGGCGGUGUUUGGCACCUCGAUGUCGGCUCAUCACAUCCUGGGGCUGAAGUAGGUCCCAAGGGUAUGGCUGUUCGCCAUUUAAAGUGGUACGCGAGCUGGGUUUAGAACGUCGUGAGACAGUUCGGUCCCUAUCUGCCGUGGGCGCUGGAGAACUGAGGGGGGCUGCUCCUAGUACGAGAGGACCGGAGUGGACGCAUCACUGGUGUUCGGGUUGUCAUGCCAAUGGCACUGCCCGGUAGCUAAAUGCGGAAGAGAUAAGUGCUGAAAGCAUCUAAGCACGAAACUUGCCCCGAGAUGAGUUCUCCCUGACUCCUUGAGAGUCCUGAAGGAACGUUGAAGACGACGACGUUGAUAGGCCGG
rnacentral:rRNA from 1 species